rnacentral:rRNA from 1 species
UACGUAGGGGGCGAGCGUUGUCCGGAUUUAUUGGGCGUAAAGGGCUCGUAGGCGGCCAACUAAGUCAGACGUGAAAUCCCUCGGCUUAACCGGGGAACUGCGUCUGAUACUGGAUGGCUUGAGUUUGGGAGAGGGAUGCGGAAUUCCAGGUGUAGCGGUGAAAUGCGUAGAUAUCUGGAGGAACACCGGUGGCGAAGGCG